rnacentral:rRNA from 1 species
CCUACGGGAGGCUGCAGUGAGGAAUAUUGGUCAAUGGGCGAGAGCCUGAACCAGCCAAGUCGCGUGAAGGAUGAAGGCCCUACGGGUUGUAAACUUCUUUUGUCAGGGAGCAAUUGGGUCCACGCGUGGGCUUAGCGAGAGUACCUGAAGAAAAAGACUCGGCUAACUCCGUGCAAGCAGCCGCGGUAAUACGGAGGAUGCGAGCGUUAUCCGGAUGUAUUGGGUUUAAAGGGUGCGUAGGCGGAAUAUCAAGUCAGCGGUAAAAGUUCGGGGCUCACCCCCGUCGUGCCGUUGAAACUGACGUUCUUGAGUGGGCGAGAGGUAUGCGGAAUGCGUGGUGUAGCGGUGAAAUGCGUAGAUAUCGCGCAGAACUCCGAUUGCGAAGGCAGCAUACCGGCGCCCAACUGACGCUGAAGCACGAAAGCGUGGGUAUCGAACAGGAUUAGAUACCCCAGUAGUC